UACGGAGGGGGCUAGCGUUGUUCGGAAUUACUGGGCGUAAAGCGCACGUAGGCGGCUUUGCAAGUUAGAGGUGAAAGCCCGGAGCUUAACUCCGGAAUUGCCUUUAAAACUGCAUCGCUAGAAUUGUGGAGAGGUGAGUGGAAUUCCGAGUGUAGAGGUGAAAUUCGUAGAUAUUCGGAAGAACACCAGUGGCGAAGGCGACUCACUGGACACAUAUUGACGCUGAGGUGCGGAAGCGUGGGGAGCAAACAGG
rnacentral:rRNA from 1 species